AUACGUAGGGAGCGAGCGUUGUCCGGAAUUACUGGGUGUAAAGGGAGCGUAGGCGGGAGUGCAAGUCAGAUGUGAAAUACAUGGGCUCAACCCAUGGGCUGCAUAUGAAACUGCAUUUCUUGAGUGAAGUAGAGGUAAGCGGAAUUCCUGGUGUAGCGGUGAAAUGCGUAGAUAUCAGGAGGAACACCGGUGGCGAAGGCGGCUUACUGGGCUUUUACUGACGCUGAGGCUCGAAAGCGUGGGGAGCAAACAGGAUUAGAUACCCUGGUAGUCCACGCUGUAAACGAUGAUUACUAGGUGUGGGGGGACUGACCCCUUCCGUGCCGCAGUUAACACAAUAAGUAAUCCACCUGGGGAGUACGGCCGCAAGGUUGAAACUCAAAUGAAUUGACGGGG
rnacentral:rRNA from 1 species